AGAGUUUGAUCCUGGCUCAGGAUGAACGCUAGCGGCAGGCUUAAUACAUGCAAGUCGAGGGGUAACAUGGGUAGCAAUACCUGAUGACGACCGGCAAACGGGUGCGGAACACGUACGCAACCUUCCCAAAACUGGUGAAUAGCCCUCCGAAAGGAGGAUUAAUACACCGUAACAUAACGAAAUGGCAUCAUUUUGUUAUUAUAGCAGCAAUGCGGUUUUGGAUAGGCGUGCGCCUGAUUAGGUAGUUGGCGGGGUAACGGCCCACCAAGCCUGCGAUCAGUAACUGGUGUGAGAGCACGACCAGUCACACGGGCACUGAGACACGGGCCCGACUCCUACGGGAGGCAGCAGUAAGGAAUAUUGGUCAAUGGACGAAAGUCUGAACCAGCCAUGCCGCGUGAAGGAUGAAGGCCCUCUGGGUUGUAAACUUCUUUUAUAGGGGACGAAAAAAGCUCAUUCUUGAGCACUUGACGGUACCCUAGGAAUAAGCACCGGCUAACUCCGUGCCAGCAGCCGCGGUAAUACGGAGGGUGCAAGCGUUAUCCGGAUUUACUGGGUUUAAAGGGUGCGUAGGUGGGCAGGUAAGUCAGUGGUGAAAUCUCCGAGCUUAACUCGGAAACUGCCAUUGAUACUAUCUGUCUUGAAUUAUCUGGAGGUGAGCGGAAUAUGUCAUGUAGCGGUGAAAUGCUUAGAUAUGACAUAGAACACCAAUUGCGAAGGCAGCUCACUACGGGUAUAUUGACACUGAGGCACGAAAGCGUGGGGAUCAAACAGGAUUAGAUACCCUGGUAGUCCACGCCCUAAACGAUGGAUACUCGACAUACGCGAUACACAGUGUGUGUCUGAGCGAAAGCAUUAAGUAUCCCACCUGGGAAGUACGUUCGCAAGAAUGAAACUCAAAGGAAUUGGCGGGGGUCCGCACAAGCGGUGGAGUAUGUGGUUUAAUUCGAUGAUACGCGAGGAACCUUACGUGGGCUAGAAUGCUGG
rnacentral:rRNA from 1 species